AAUGGGCGGAAGCCUGAACCAGCCAUGCCGCGUGCAGGAAGGAGGCCCUACGGGUUGUAAACUGCUUUUACCCGGGAAGAAACCGCCCCCUGUGGGGGGCGUUGCCGGUACCGGGGGAAAAAGGAUCGGCUAACUCCGUGCCAGCAGCCGCGGUAAUACGGAGGAUCCGAGCGUUAUCCGGAUUUAUUGGGUUUAAAGGGUGCGUAGGUGGUUUGAUAAGUCAGCGGUGAAAGUUUGCAGCUUAACUGUAAAAAUGCCGUUGAAACUGUCGGACUUGAGUGUAAAUGAGGUAGGCGGAAUGCGUGGUGUAGCGGUGAAAUGCAUAGAUAUCACGCAGAACUCCGAUUGCGAAGGCAGCUUACUAAGCUACAACUGACACUGAAGCACGAAAGCGUGGGGAUCAAA
rnacentral:rRNA from 1 species